rnacentral:rRNA from 1 species
GUGGGGAAUAUUGGACAAUGGGCGAAAGCCUGAUCCAGCCAUGCCGCGUGAGUGAUGAAGGCCUUAGGGUUGUAAAGCUCUUUCAGUAGGGAAGAUAAUGACGGUACCUACAGAAGAAGCCCCGGCUAACUUCGUGCCAGCAGCCGCGGUAACACGAAGGGGGCUAGCGUUGUUCGGAUUUACUGGGCGUAAAGCGCACGUAGGCGGAUUGGUCAGUUAGAGGUGAAAUCCUGGAGCUCAACUCCAGAACUGCCUUUAAUACUGCCAGUCUAGAUGCCAGAAGAGGUGAGUGGAACUCCUAGUGUAGAGGUGGAAUUCGUAGAUAUUAGGAAGAACACCAGUGGCGAAGGCGGCUCACUGGUCUGGUACUGACGCUGAGGUGCGAAAGCGUGGGGAGCAAACAGGAUUAGAAACCCGGGUAGUCC